AUCGCGGAAACGUUUUUGACCGGUAGAGCGAACGACUAGAGGUACCGGGGCCGUAACGGCCUCGACCUAUUCUCGAACUCCGAACGGGCAAGGAGCCGGGGUCGCCCGAUCGGACCCCGGACGUGAAGUCGACGAUGGUCGGUGGGCUGGUUUUGGUAAGCAGAACGGGCGAUUCGGGAUGAACCGGAAGCGGGGAGAAAGGGCCCGAGAUUGCGUCGACGCGGAUCCCGAAAAGGCGUCGAUCCGUCGCGACAGCGGGGACGGUGGUCAUGGAAGUCGAAAUCCGCUAAGAAGCGUGUAAAAACGUACCCGCCCAACGGAUCGGCCCCGAAAAUUGAUGGCGCUCGAACGCAACCCUCGAACCCCGCCGACGGAGGCUAGGGGAGGCCCCGUCGAGUAGGCGGACGCGCGGGUCGCUUCGACGCUCCCGCGCGAGCGGGGGCGAGCGGCCCGUGGUGCAGAUCUUGGUGGUAGUAGCGAUCACCCCAGGCGAGAACCCUGAGGCCGAAGUGGAGAAGGGUUUCUCGAGAACGGC
rnacentral:rRNA from 1 species